rnacentral:pre_miRNA from 1 species
AGUCCAUCAUCGGGCUGCUGGCUGGUUUGGCUAGGCGAGCUGCCCAGUGAAGGGCUGU